UGGGGAAUUUUUGGCAAUGGGCGCAAGCCUGACCAAGCAACGCCGCGUGGGUGAUGAAGUCUCUUGGUACGUAAAACCCUUUCGGCAGGAACGAACACAAUGACGGUACCUGCGGAAGAAGCCCCGGCUGACUCCGUGCCAGCAGCCGCGGUAAUACGGGGGGGGGCAAGCGUUGUUCGGAAUUACUGGGCGUAAAGGGCGCGUAGGCGGUUGGAUAAGUUGGUGGUGAAAACCUCGAGCUUAACUCGGGGCCUGCCAUCAAUACUGUCUGGCUGGAGUGUGGGAGAGGAGAGUGGAAUUCCCGGUGUAGCGGUGAAAUGCGUAGAUAUCGGGAGGAAAACCGGUGGCGAAGGCGGCUCUCUGGACCACAACUGACGCUGAAGCGCGAAAGCUAGGGGAGCAAACAGG
rnacentral:rRNA from 1 species